AUUGAACGCUGGCGGCAUGCCUUACACAUGCAAGUCGAACGGCAGCACGGGAGCAAUCCUGGUGGCGAGUGGCGAACGGGUGAGUAAUGUAUCGGAACGUGCCCAGUCGUGGGGGAUAACGUAGCGAAAGCUACGCUAAUACCGCAUACGAUCUAUGGAUGAAAGCGGGGGAUCGCAAGACCUCGCGCGAUUGGAUCGGCCGAUAUCAGAUUAGGUAGAUGGUGGGGUAAAGGCUCACCAAGCCGACGAUCUGUAGCUGGUCUGAGAGGACGACCAGCCACACUGGGACUGAGACACGGCCCAGACUCCUACGGGAGGCAGCAGUGGGGAAUUUUGGACAAUGGGCGAAAGCCUGAUCCAGCAAUGCCGCGUGCAGGAUGAAGGCCUUCGGGUUGUAAACUGCUUUUGUACGGAACGAAACGGCGAACUCUAAUACAGUUUGCUAAUGACGGUACCGUAAGAAUAAGCACCGGCUAACUACGUGCCAGCCGCCGCCGUAA
rnacentral:rRNA from 1 species